CUGGGUUCUCCCGCCCAUUGUGUCCCUGUGCCCUGCUUCGUGUUGUUUGGCUUCUCGUCCUACGCUUCAUCACCGGUGCUGCUGCAAAUUGAACGGCGUUUCUCGUCUCACGGCGUGCUGCAAAUUGAACGGGGCUACAUCGCAACGCAACACACAAGAUCAACUGCAGUGCCUACACGGUGGACGGAGUAUUUGUAUGAUGUGAAGGUCACUAUUCAGCAUCGUCAGUAUGAAAUGGCUAUGGCCUUCAAAGCUUUCUUUCUUGGUCACCGGACAGGGAAGAAAUAUUCUGCUCAAGCUCACAAUUAG
rnacentral:misc_RNA from 1 species